rnacentral:sRNA from 41 species
AGAACGUGAUGGGAAGCGGCGCGCUUCCCGUGUAUGAUUGAACCCGCAUGGCUCCCGGUUCGUUCGGGGAAGCGCUGAGGGUUCAUUUUUAU